GAGGAACCAACCGAGGAGGAAGACAGGAGGUCCAGGCAGAUCAGAACCCUGGAGCAGAGAGGAGCACACCAGCAGCAGGAGCCAUGAGCCGAGAGGAAGCGGAGGGAGCCGCCAGCCAGCAGCCAGACCGUGACUUUCCCAGGAUCAGGGCGGACAACCCCCGGUCCGGACAGCGCCGGUGCAAAUAACAUCAUGUACCGCGUUGUCCUGCCUCUAGGCAUAUUUCUAUUGGUUGCCGGUGCGAUUGUCAUCUUUUGCUGUUGUACAAAAACCUGUAGUGAAAAUUAAGAAAAACAACAUCAGACCACAAAUGGAUAACAUCAAGAAAGAAAUGCCAAUUAUUAAAAAACUUAAAGCUGCCAAAAAAGAGGAGGAGAAAAUUAUGAAGAGAACAUCUAAAACAGAGGAGGAAAAGAUCAUGGAGGUAACAUUCAAAACAGAGGAGGAGAAAAUCAUGAAGGUAACAUCUAAAACAGAGGAGGAGAUCACAAAGAGAACAUCAAAAACAGAGGAGAAGAUCACUAUGAGAACAUCCCGCCUUAACCGGUUCCGUAAAUGGAUUAAAAAAAGGACCCAAAAGAAGAACACCUGCUGCAGCUGCCGGUCCAUGGACUAAAUGGAGUUAACUUAGUACCAUCAUGCCCAUUAGUCCGUAAGCCCUGGAACAACAUCUACAGUGGCCAUAUCUGUCUGUCUGUCUGUCUGUCUCUCAGUUUGUCUGUCUUUCUGUUUGUCUGUCUUCCCCUCUAUCUGUCCCCCUGUCUGUCUAUCUAUCAUAGAAUACAUAGGUAGAUUGGAGACACCUGGAGGGGGUGUACAUCUCAUCUACAGUUUUUUAAAUGUAGGUGAGAUGAAAAAUCCAGGAAAGUUGGGUUUCCUCAGUAAAUUUUCUUUACUGAGGAUUUAAGAACCUUUGUUUUCCGGGCCUGGAUUUUUUUUGGGAAUCCCAGGUAGGUUGGCAGUGGGACCUGCCAUUCCCUCCCCCUCCAGUACAUCCCACCCUUCCCUCCAAUUACCCCAGGCAAUGUUGCUGGACUCCUUACUGGUGCAUGAAACUGUUGACAAGCCCAGUCAAGGUCUGAGUCUAGGA